rnacentral:rRNA from 1 species
UACGGGGGGGGGCAAGCGUUGUUCGGAAUUACUGGGCGUAAAGGGCGCGUAGGCGGGCUGCCGCGUCCGGGGUGAAAUCCUCCGGCUCAACCGGGGAAGGGCCUCGGAUACGGGCGGCCUGGAGUGGGGUAGGGGCGUGCGGAACUGUGGGUGGAGCGGUGAAAUGCGUUGAGAUCCACAGGAACUCCGGUGGCGAAGGCGGCACGCUGGACCCUUUCUGACGCUGAGGCGCGAAAGCCAGGGGAGCGAACGGG